CGCUGUGUGCUCGGUCGAAGACACGAGACACACGGCGACCGCUCGUUACAUAAGUAAGGUAAAGGAUCUCCUCUUCUGCUCUCCUUGAGUCGAUCCACAUCCGCGAUUAUGCCACUUUCCAUCGACCUCGCUUCACCUCGGCUCGCCGUGCAUCGACACCACGUGUGUGUGUGUGUGUGUAUGUGUGUGUGUAUACGUGCAACGGAAGCUCGUGAUUUCCUUUAUGGAUCGAAAUCCGGAGCUUCCUUGAAAAAAAGGUCGAAUCAGGAUUCCAGCCAUCGAGAGAGAAAAGAAAUCAUUUUUCUUCUCCUCACUAUGAAAGAUCGAGAAUGGAAUGGAGUCGAAAUUUUUUUUUUCUUUUUUUUUUUUUUUUUUUUUUUAAUAAAAAAUUGAUAAGAAUCAUCGAGACACAGUUGAAAAUUAAUUACGAUCCUCGGAGGAGGAAAUUAAUCAUUGUUCCCUUUGAACUGGAAAAUUUGAAAAUGAAAAGAUUAGAUAUAGUCCGAGGCGACUGUCACCGGGAGACAAAAGGAAUUGUGUCAGUUUUUUUCCUCCGGAACACCUGGAGAAGAGGAGGCAGAGAAUUAUGCCAGCCCGUUCUUCAGCCCCCGCAGCAUAUUGUCCGGGAAGCUUGCCGCGGGAAAAAAAAAGAAUCUUUUACAGAACAAGACGAAAUCGCGAUGAUCCUGAUUCAAAAUUAAAUUUUUCCUGUCGUAUAGUUGUAAACAGGAAAUGGAUUACGCCAAUAAGAAAAAUGUAUCGAACUAAUCGAACAAAACCGAUACAGCGAUAUCAUUCUAUCGCUGUAUUAUGUAAAAAAGCGUGUUGCUUGGUUCGAUCAAUUUGUUACGUCCGCAGUUUUUACCAAACAUUCGUUCUCCGAUCUUUCUUUUAUUCCUCCUUCUUCCUUCCUCUUCGCUCGCGAUGUAAAGUUAAUUGGCGUAGCGUGGUUACUCGAUUUACAUGAGUCUUAAUUAAGCGACUACUCUUGCUCGUCUCAACGCGUACGAAAUUACCUGCCUGUACGGAAUUUUCGAAGUAAUUGUUACGUAUUUUAUGCGCGAACGAGGGAAGAGAUUGGACGGAUACAAAUCUUCAAGAUCGUAAAUUCGCCUUUUUUAAUAUCACACAGGGUUAGGUUGCGAUCGUUCUCGUAAUGGCCCACGUUCAUUCAUUCGAUAUAUUUUCGACGAAUAUUACGCCCUCUCGAUUAGUACGCCUCUGCCCGGUGGAAAAAUCGUUUCCCGUGACCGUUAACGUCCCCUCGGAUGGAUGGGACGCGUUAGAAGUUUAUAGUCCGGGUUAUGGUUCCUCGUGAGAUCGGUGAUAUUGACGAGUCGUUGAACUUUGCAAUAUAACUUCGACAAUAACGCGACCUUGCCUUUGAACGGCGGAAGAACACUCGAGCGAAAAAAGAUCUAUAAGGAAAUGCGUUUUCUCUUGUGGAAGAUCCUCGAUCGAGUAGAGAGAAAAAUGCGAUAUUUAAUUGAAUAGAAAUUAUAAGAAGUUUUAAAAAAAAUUUUCUCGGAUAAAUUUGAUUUAUUCUUCUUCGAUUUUUCUUCAAUUUGUUGCAUUCGAUAGAAUUUCUCGCGGACAAGAAACGCUAUAACCAUCUAGCGGUCGAAUAGUACAACUAAAAUGCCCCUGGUAAAGUGCAACCCGAUGAGCUAUCGAGCGUGCACUUUGCCAGCUGAUGUUGAGUAUAGAUACCUUCUUUACCAUCGUAAAUCUUUAUCCAGAUUCUUAAUUUUUCUUAAGCGCUUAAAGUUAAAAUUUUUUUAUUUCGUCUUGAAUUUCUCAGUUAUUAAAUGGAUAAAAAGAAAUCAUAAGUCUUUGUAAAUAAUUACAUUUAUUUAUUUAUCAAUUUCACAGUAUAACAGUGUAUACGAUACGCUGAAUAUAGAAUAAUCUCUGCUCGUUUACUAAUUAAGGCGAUUAGUAUGUGAGUGUGAUCGGUAAGAACAUAUAUUAUAUAGCACGUGUACUUUUUAUUGGUCGUCAUAAUAUCCUUUUGUCGCUCUUUCUUCUUAUAAUUUUUUUUUUUUUUUUUUUUUUUUUUUUUAUAUAUAUA